rnacentral:rRNA from 1 species
CUACGGGAGGCUGCAGUCGAGGAAAUUUUACAAUGCUCGAAAGAGUGAUAAAAUAAACCAGAGUGUUUCUCCUAGAGAAACUUUUAUCUACUGUAAAAAGGUAGAUGAAUAAGGACUGGGCAAGACCGGUGCCAGCCGCCGCGGUAAUACCGGCGGUCCAAGUUGCAUCCACAUUUAUUGGGUCUAAAACAUCUGUAGCUUGUUUUACAAGUCUCUUGUGAAAUCUCAUAUCUCAAGUAUGAGGCGUGCAAGAGAUACUGUAUUACUAGAGACCGGGAGACGCAAAGAGUAUGAUUAAGGUAGCGGUAAAAUGUGUUAAUCUUAAUCAGACUAACAAUGGCGAAGGCACUUUGCGAGCACGGAUCUGACAGUAAGGGAUGAAGGCUAGGGGCGCAAAAGGGAUUAGAUACCCCAGUAGUC